UGUCCCUUAAAAUCGAUAUCACUAUUAAAGAAUCUCUCAGGUAUAAAUUCUUCUGAAUUUUCCCAUACGUCAGAAUCCCUUGCAAUUGCCCAUGCAUUAACAUGGACUAUAGUUCCUGGCUGAAUUUCAUAUCCUUCUAGUGUGGAUUUUUUCAUUGUUUCUCUUGGUAUUAGGAGUGGAGCUGGUGGAUAUAACCUGAAUGCCUCGUUUAUCACUGCUUUGAAAUAGGGAAGAUUUUGGAUGUCAUCUUCAUUCACAGUGCCUUUGUUCCCAAUUGAUUUUCUAAGUUCUUGUUGAACUUUUUUCAUGGCUUUUGGAUUCUUCAUCAAGGCUGUUAUUGUCCAUACUACUGCAGCCGCGCUAGUUUCUGAUCCUGCUAGUAACACAUUCUACAAAGAAAGAACAUAAAAAAAUUUGUAAUAUAACAACUAAUACUAAAGAUAUG
rnacentral:misc_RNA from 1 species